rnacentral:rRNA from 1 species
AACGAACGCUGGCGGCAUGCCUAACACAUGCGAGUCGAACGAGACCUUCGGGUCUAGUGGCGCACGGGUGCGUAACGCGUGGGAACCUGCCCUUAGGUUCGGAAUAACUCCCCGAAAGGGGUGCUAAUACCGGAUAAUGUCUUCGGACCAAAGAUUUAUCGCCUUUGGAUGGGCCCGCGUUGGAUUAGCUAGUUGGUAGGGUAAAAGCCUACCAAGGCGACGAUCCAUAGCUGGUCUGAGAGGAUGAUCAGCCACACUGGGACUGAGACACGGCCCAGACUCCUACGGGAGGCAGCAGUGGGGAAUAUUGGACAAUGGGCGAAAGCCUGAUCCAGCAAUGCCGCGGGAGUGAUGAAGGCCUUAGGGUGGUAAAGCUCUUUUACCCGGGAUGAUAAGGACAGUACCGGGAGAAUAAGCUCCGGCUAACUCCGG